AUUGAACGCUGGCGGCAUGCUUUACACAUGCAAGUCGAACGGUAAUAGGCCUUCGGGUGCUGACGAGUGGCGAACGGGUGAGUAAUGCAUCGGAACGUGCCCAGAGGUGGGGGAUAACGCAGCGAAAGCUGUGCUAAUACCGCAUGUGAUCUGAGGAUGAAAGCGGGGGACCAAGCAGCAAUGUUUGGCCUCGCGCCUCUGGAGCGGCCGAUGUCAGAUUAGGUAGUUGGUGGGGUAAAGGCCUACCAAGCCGACGAUCUGUAGCUGGUCUGAGAGGACGACCAGCCACACUGGGACUGAGACACGGCCCAGACUCCUACGGGAGGCAGCAGUGGGGAAUUUUGGACAAUGGGCGCAAGCCUGAUCCAGCAAUGCCGCGUGCGGGAAGAAGGCCUUCGGGUUGUAAACCGCUUUUGUACGGAACGAAAAGGCUCUGGCUAAUACCUGGGGCUGAUGACGGUACCGUAAGAAUAAGCACCGGCUAACUACGUG
rnacentral:rRNA from 1 species